rnacentral:lncRNA from 1 species
UACAUUCAACUUUUGCAUAAUUACUUGGGGGUCGACAUCGGCAUGUCUGCUGCAGACCAGGCAAAAACAUCUGAGUUCUUCCUCAAACAUUAGAUCAACAUAUUCUUUUCUUCUUCUUCCAAAGGUGAUGAAAUUUUGAUAGUUCUUUCCUUGUUAUCACAAAAUAGCUGCAGAGUCUCAGUAUGUUUCAUAGCCUUAGGUUUUUUGCUCCUAUACUCAUCUCUCACGUCCAAAC